UUAUAGUCGAUGUCGAUUCAGCAUUUUUAACGUCUCUAAUUUAAAACUAAACAUGAAACUUUGGUUUCAUUCGGCUCCUUUAUGGAAGAAUGGAUAAAUUCCUAGAUCUAAGAUGUGAACUAAAUUACAAAAAAUUCUACCCAUAACAUCUAUGUCAGCUUUUUGUAUGAAUACAUUCAAAACGACUCGCUUUUUAGAUGAUCCCUCUAGAAGAAGGUGAUUAUGACAACCUUUCUAGUUACUUCGUUCUCUAUUUCUAUUUGAAAAAGGAUCCUGAGGAAAAAGGUUUUGUUUCCACCGGGCUAAAAUAAUAUGUUGAUAACUCUAGUAAACUAAAGUUAUCGUUUAAAAGCUAUGCUAUUUUGCUUCAAUUUCUUUUUUACAAAUAAAAAAAUUUUGAAGAUUUAGUUACGAUUAGAAAUCUACUUUUCUAUCUCCAUCCAUGGAUCCUUUACUCAUACUCAUUCAAUUGGAAGUAUUGAUCCAAUUCAAAAAUUUUGUUUCGCAAUUUCAUAAUCCAUUUUUUCAAUUUUUAAGUGACCUUUGGAUACAAACCACGAUAAUUUAUAUUUUCCUCGAAUAUAUCUUUCAGAGGUAAAGGAUUAAAUCCUUUUAAAAAAUAAAGUUUCUUUAUCGGAAUAUGAAUAAAACCGAAAGACCCCUUAACUAUUUAAGGGGAUUACUGCAACGAAUCACACUUUUACCACUAAACUAUACCCGCUACAAUGCGAUUAUUAUAUCUAAAAGGGCCUUUUGUCGAAUAGGGGAAUUAGGCAUAAUCAACAUAUGAUCAUAAAAGAAUCAUGAAAAUUAGAGUGUUGACAUUUUUUGUGGGGGAUUAAAAUUGAAUAAAAUUUAUAAAAAGAAAAGAGGGCUCAUUUAAAUAACUAAAUAACAAGUUCUAUCUUUUCUUUUGCUGGAGGAGUUUUGAUAGAUAUGGUUUGCCAAAAACACUGAAAUCAUAACAAAAAAAUGCAUUGUGUAAAAAUCCAUAGUUUCUUUUUUUAUUCCAGUAAGAAUAAGGUUGUCAAGGAAAUAAAAAAGAAAGAAAGAAUAAUAAGAAAUGACACUUUGAUUUUGUAUAAUAAGAAUGAAAAUAUUACUUUGUCUUUUUGUUGUUGCUUUAAUAGCAAACCUUUUUUGUUUUCAAAUCAGAUAAAUU
rnacentral:lncRNA from 1 species